GAUGAACGCUCGCGGGAGGCCUAACACAUGCAAGCCGAGCGGUAGAGUUUCUUCGGAAACUUGAGAGCGGCGCACGGGUGCGUAACACGUGUGCAACCUACCUUUAUCUGGGGGAUAGCCUUUCGAAAGGAAGAUUAAUACCCCAUAAUAUAAUGAUUGGCAUCAAUUAUUAUUGAAAACUCCGGUGGAUAGAGAUGGGCACGCGCAAGAUUAGAUAGUUGGUGAGGUAACGGCUCACCAAGUCAAUGAUCUUUAGGGGUCCUGAGAGGGAGAUCCCCCAGACUGGUACUGAGCCCCGGCCCAGACUGCUACGGGCGGUAGCAGUGAGGAGUAUAGGGGGAUGGGUGAGAGCCUGCUCCAGCCCUCCAGCGUGAAGGAUGACCGGACUAUGGAUUGUAAUCUUCUUUUGUACAGGGAUAAGCCUAUCCACGGGAGAGUAGCUGAAGGUACUGUACGAAUAAGCACCGGCUAACUACGUG
rnacentral:rRNA from 1 species